rnacentral:rRNA from 1 species
GACGAACGCUGGCGGCGUGCUUAACACAUGCAAGUCGAACGGUGAACCUCUUCGGAGGGGCUCAGUGGCGAACGGGUGAGUAACACGUGGGCAACCUGCCCCCGGCUCUGUGAUAACUCCAAGAAAUUGUGGCUAAUACCAGAUGUUCACCGCUUCCCGCAUGGGUGUUGGUGGAAAGGGUUUGCGGCUGGGGAUGGGCCCGCGGCCUAUCAGCUUGUUGGUGGGGUAGUGGCCUACCAAGGCGACGACGGGUAGCCGGCCUGAGAGGUUGGCCGGCGACAAGGGUCCUGCGGCACGGCGCAGAGGGGUAUGGGAGGCAGUAGGGGGGAGUCUUGUGCAGUGGGAGGGAGCGUGUCGCGGAGGCGUCCGGGUUGGGAUGACGGCUUGCGGGUUGAGAAAAGCUUCCAGCAGGGACGAAGCGCAAGUGACGGUACCUGAAGAAGAAGCACCGGCUAACUACGUG